CACAAAUCUAUCGUUGCCAAUACAUUUAUUAAUAACAACGAAUUUAUGUCGUUGCAACACAUAAAUCGUUGCCAAUACAUUAAUCAUUAAGAACAAAAUAAAAUUGUAUUUCGUUGCAACAUAUUUAUUGUUGCCAAUACAUGACGUAUUUUCGACCGCACCCGCCAUCCCGACCUUUGGACUACCGACGCGCAUCUGCCGACCAGACCUUUGGACCGCCAACCGGCAUUUGCGGACCCAACCUUUAGACCGCCGAACCGCUUCAGAGUCGGAAUUGUUGGGUUAAACUCAUGAUUUAGCCCAAUAGGCUAACCCGCUUGAUAAAUGUCAAAUAUACGGAGACAUGACAAUGGUAAGAGUCGAACUCUGGUUGAUUUGAAGUUAGACACCCUUCAAACCGCU
rnacentral:lncRNA from 1 species